rnacentral:rRNA from 1 species
AACGAACGCUGGCGGCAGGCUUAGCACAUGCAAGUCGAGCGCCCCGCAAGGGGAGCGGCAGACGUGUGAGUAACGCGUGGGAAUCUACCCAUCUCUACGGAAUAACGCAUGGAAACGUGUGCUAAUACCGUAUACGUCCUUCGGGAGAAAGAUUUAUCGGAGAUGGAUGAGCCCGCGUUGGAUUAGCUAGUUGGUGGGGUAAAGGCCUACCAAGGCGACGAUCCAUAGCUGGUCUGAGAGGAUGAUCAGCCACACUGGGACUGAGACACGGCCCAGACUCCUACGGGAGGCAGCAGUGGGGAAUAUUGGACAAUGGGCGAAGCCUGAUCCAGCCAUGCCGCGUGAGUGAUGAAGGCCCUAGGGUUGUAAAGCUCUUUCACCGGUGAAGAUAAUGACGGUAACCGGAGAAGAAGCCCCGGCUAACUUCGUGCCAGCCGCCGCCGUAAGAC